AACGAACGCUGGCGGCGCGCCUAAUACAUGCAAGUCGAGCGAGAAGACGUAGCAAUACGUUUGUAAAGCGGCGAACGGGUGAGGAAUACAUGGGUAACCUACCCUCGAGUGGGGAAUAACUAGCCGAAAGGUUAGCUAAUACCGCGUACGCUCCUCGGACUUCGGUUCAGGGAGGAAAGCGAUACCGUGGGUAUCGCGCUCUUGGAUGGGCUCAUGUCCUAUCAGCUUGUUGGUGAGGUAACGGCUCACCAAGGCUUCGACGGGUAGCUGGUCUGAGAGGACGAUCAGCCACACUGGCACUGCGACACGGGCCAGACUCCUACGGGAGGCAGCAGUAAGGAAUAUUGCGCAAUGGGCGAAAGCCUGACGCAGCGACGCCGCGUGGGGGAUGAAGGUCUUCGGAUUGUAAACCCUUUCGGGAGGGAAGAUGGAACGAGCAAUCGUUCGGACGGUACCUCCAGAAGCAGCCACGGCUAACUUCGUGCCAGCAGCCG
rnacentral:rRNA from 1 species